rnacentral:lncRNA from 1 species
AAGAAAGCCAUGCAACAAGAGAGGCAGAAUCAGAGAGAGAAGAUGCCACGCUGAUGGCUUUGAAAAUGAAAAAAGGGUCCUGAGUCAAAGAAUACAAGUGGAUUCUAGGAGCUAGGAAAGUCAGGAAACAGGCUGUGCCCUGGAGCCUCCAUAAAAAACCAGUCAUGUGAACACCUUGGUGUUAGCCCGUAAGCCUCACGUCAAACUUCUGGCUUCUAGAACUGCAGGAAAAGCAAUUUGUGUUGAUUUAGCCGUGUGAUCAUCAUCAUCAGAGGAGGAAGGAAGUUGAGAAGGAGGAGGAAGGAAGUUGAGAAGGAGGAGGAAGGGGAACAAAGAUGAGAAGGAGGAUGCUGGGGAUGGAUGGCUGCUUCCUGGACUCCAGUUGCCUGGCUGGCCUUUAAACAGAGCCCCCCUGGGGCAACUUGUGCCUUAAAAUACAUUUCCAAAGGAAGCUUCAGUGUCAUGUGCUCCGGGCAUCUUGGAGAGGUGGUGAGACAUCUUUGUUGUUGCAACUAAUGUUGGUAAAGGGUUUGGGGUCAACCAGGAGAGGAUGCUCCAGAAAGGUAAUGAGAUAAACACACCUUUCC